UACUCUCACACUCUCUGAUCCUUUGGAUUGGGAGUGGUGGACUUGGGUGUUGCUGCUGCGCGGUGGCUCACCUCAAAUGCAUUAGUGCAACUCCUAGUUGGACAUAGUACGGCGUGAUAAGUGUCUUCGCCGGCACCUCAGUAGAGGGUGGCUGAUCGGGAGCUCUGUGCUUCAAACCGUCCUCGGACAACAACUGACA
rnacentral:misc_RNA from 1 species